GACCGAGUGAUGCUGGGAAGUGACUACCCCUACCCUCUGGGAGAAAUAGAGAGACCCGGCAGACUGAUCGAGACCAGUGGCUUGCAAGAUUCACUCAAGGAGAAGCUGCUGUGGAAGAAUGCCGCAAGCUUUCUUGGAAUUGAGAUGACCCCUGAAGGCGUCACUUCCAGGACGUAGGAGCACGCUGAUCGACAUCUUCCUUAAUAAAGUUGUAGCUAUAGAUGCAAAGCCAA
rnacentral:lncRNA from 1 species